rnacentral:rRNA from 1 species
CCUACGGGUGGCAGCAGUCGAGAAUCAUUCACAAUGGGGGAAACCCUGAUGGUGCGACGCCGCGUGGGGGAAUGAAGGUCUUCGGAUUGUAAACCCCUGUCAUGUGGGAGCAAAUUAAAAAGAUAGUACCCCACGAGGAAGAGACGGCUAACUCUGUGCCAGCAGCCGCGGUAAUACAGAGGUCUCAAGCGUUGUUCGGAAUCACUGGGCGUAAAGCGUGCGUAGACUGUUUCGUAAGUCGUGUGUGAAAGGCGAGGGCUCAACCCGCGGACGGCACAUGAUACUGCGAGACUAGAGUAAUGGAGGGGGAACCGGAAUUCUCGGUGUAGCAGUGAAAUGCGUAGAUAUCGAGAGGAACACUCGUGGCGAAGGCGGGUUCCUGGACAUUAACUGACGCUGAGGCACGAAGGCCAGGGGAGCGAAAGGGAUUAGAUACCCUGGUAGUC